AGCGAACGCUGGCGGCAGGCCUAACACAUGCAAGUCGAACGAACUCUUCGGAGUUAGUGGCGGCCGGGUGAGUCACACGUGGGAACGUGCCUUUUGGUUCGGCAUAACUCAGGGACACUUGUGCUAAUACCGAAUGUGCCCUUCGGGGGAAAGAUUUAUCGCCAUUAGAGCGGCCCGCGUCUGAUUAGCUAGUUGGUGAGGUAACGGCUCACCAAGGCGACGAUCAGUAGCUGGUCUGAGAGGAUGACCAGCCACACUGGGACUGAGACACGGCCCAGACUCCUACGGGAGGCAGCAGUGGGGAAUCGUGCGCAAUGGGCGAAAGCCUGACGCAGCCAUGCCGCGUGAAUGAUGAAGGUCUUAGGAUUGUAAAAUUCUUUCACCGGGGACGAUAAUGACGGUACCCGGAGAAGAAGCCCCGGCUAACUUCGUG
rnacentral:rRNA from 1 species